rnacentral:rRNA from 1 species
CCUACGGGGGGCUGCAGUGGGGAAUAUUGCACAAUGGGGGAAACCCUGAUGCAGCGACGCCGCGUGAGUGAAGAAGUAAUUCGUUACGUAAAGCUCUAUCAGCAGGGAAGAAACACUGACCUUACGGUCAGCAGACGGUACCUGAGUAAGAAGCCCCGGCUACCUACGUGCCAGCAGCCGCGGUAAUACGUAGGGGGCAAGCGUUAUCCGGAAUUACUGGGGGUGAAGGGAGCGUAGACGGUGCGCCAAGUCUGGAGUGAAAGGCCGCGGCUGAACGGCGGAACUGCUUUGGAAACUGGCGAACGAGAGGGCGGGAGGGGUAAGCGGAAUUCCGAGUGUAGCGGGGAAAUGCGUAGAUAUUAGGAGGAACACCGGUGGCGAAGGCGGCUUACUGGACCGUAACUGACGUUGAGGCUCGAAAGCGUGGGGAGCAAACAGGAUUAGAUACCCCAGUAGUC